rnacentral:rRNA from 1 species
UACGGGGGGUGCGAGCGUUGUCCGGAAUCACUGGGCGUAAAGGGCGCGUAGGCGGGCUGUCAAGUCUGGGGUGAAAUGCCACGGCUCAACCGUGGAACUGCCUCAGAUACUGACGGCCUCGAGGAAGGUAGGGGCAUGCGGAACUGUAGGUGGAGCGGUGAAAUGCGUUGAUAUCUGGAGGAACACCGGUGGCGAAGGCGGCAUCCUGGACCGACACUGACACUGAGGAGCGAAAGCCAGGGGAGCAAACGGG